rnacentral:rRNA from 1 species
GGUUAAGCGACUAAGCGUACACGGUGGAUGCCCUGGCAGUCAGAGGCGAUGAAGGACGUGCUAAUCUGCGAUAAGCGUCGGUAAGGUGAUAUGAACCGUUAUAACCGGCGAUUUCCGAAUGGGGAAACCCAGUGUGUUUCGACACACUAUCAUUAACUGAAUCCAUAGGUUAAUGAGGCGAACCGGGGGAACUGAAACAUCUAAGUACCCCGAGGAAAAGAAAUCAACCGAGAUUCCCCCAGUAGCGGCGAGCGAACGGGGAGCAGCCCAGAGCCUGAAUCAGUGUGUGUGUUAGUGGAAGCGUCUGGAAAGGCGCGCGAUACAGGGUGACAGCCCCGUACACAAAAAUGCACAUAUUGUGAGCUCGAUGAGUAGGGCGGGACACGUGGUAUCCUGUCUGAAUAUGGGGGGACCAUCCUCCAAGGCUAAAUACUCCUGACUGACCGAUAGUGAACCAGUACCGUGAGGGAAAGGCGAAAAGAACCCCGGCGAGGGGAGUGAAAAAGAACCUGAAACCGUGUACGUACAAGCAGUGGGAGCACGCUUAGGCGUGUGACUGCGUACCUUUUGUAUAAUGGGUCAGCGACUUAUAUUCUGUAGCAAGGUUAACCGAAUAGGGGAGCCGAAGGGAAACCGAGUCUUAACUGGGCGUUAAGUUGCAGGGUAUAGACCCGAAACCCGGUGAUCUAGCCAUGGGCAGGUUGAAGGUUGGGUAACACUAACUGGAGGACCGAACCGACUAAUGUUGAAAAAUUAGCGGAUGACUUGUGGCUGGGGGUGAAAGGCCAAUCAAACCGGGAGAUAGCUGGUUCUCCCCGAAAGCUAUUUAGGUAGCGCCUCGUGAAUUCAUCUCCGGGGGUAGAGCACUGUUUCGGCAAGGGGGUCAUCCCGACUUACCAACCCGAUGCAAACUGCGAAUACCGGAGAAUGUUAUCACGGGAGACACACGGCGGGUGCUAACGUCCGUCGUGAAGAGGGAAACAACCCAGACCGCCAGCUAAGGUCCCAAAGUCAUGGUUAAGUGGGAAACGAUGUGGGAAGGCCCAGACAGCCAGGAUGUUGGCUUAGAAGCAGCCAUCAUUUAAAGAAAGCGUAAUAGCUCACUGGUCGAGUCGGCCUGCGCGGAAGAUGUAACGGGGCUAAACCAUGCACCGAAGCUGCGGCAGCGACGCUGAUGCGUUGUUGGGUAGGGGAGCGUUCUGUAAGCCUGUGAAGGUGUGCUGUGAGGCAUGCUGGAGGUAUCAGAAGUGCGAAUGCUGACAUAAGUAACGAUAAAGCGGGUGAAAAGCCCGCUCGCCGGAAGACCAAGGGUUCCUGUCCAACGUUAAUCGGGGCAGGGUGAGUCGACCCCUAAGGCGAGGCCGAAAGGCGUAGUCGAUGGGAAACAGGUUAAUAUUCCUGUACUUGGUGUUACUGCGAAGGGGGGACGGAGAAGGCUAUGUUGGCCGGGCGACGGUUGUCCCGGUUUAAGCGUGUAGGCUGGUUUUCCAGGCAAAUCCGGAAAAUCAAGGCUGAGGCGUGAUGACGAGGCACUACGGUGCUGAAGCAACAAAUGCCCUGCUUCCAGGAAAAGCCUCUAAGCAUCAGGUAACAUCAAAUCGUACCCCAAACCGACACAGGUGGUCAGGUAGAGAAUACCAAGGCGCUUGAGAGAACUCGGGUGAAGGAACUAGGCAAAAUGGUGCCGUAACUUCGGGAGAAGGCACGCUGAUAUGUAGGUGAAGCGACUUGCUCGUGGAGCUGAAAUCAGUCGAAGAUACCAGCUGGCUGCAACUGUUUAUUAAAAACACAGCACUGUGCAAACACGAAAGUGGACGUAUACGGUGUGACGCCUGCCCGGUGCCGGAAGGUUAAUUGAUGGGGUUAGCGCAAGCGAAGCUCUUGAUCGAAGCCCCGGUAAACGGCGGCCGUAACUAUAACGGUCCUAAGGUAGCGAAAUUCCUUGUCGGGUAAGUUCCGACCUGCACGAAUGGCGUAAUGAUGGCCAGGCUGUCUCCACCCGAGACUCAGUGAAAUUGAACUCGCUGUGAAGAUGCAGUGUACCCGCGGCAAGACGGAAAGACCCCGUGAACCUUUACUAUAGCUUGACACUGAACAUUGAGCCUUGAUGUGUAGGAUAGGUGGGAGGCUUAGAAGUGUGGACGCCAGUCUGCAUGGAGCCGACCUUGAAAUACCACCCUUUAAUGUUUGAUGUUCUAACGUUGACCCGUAAUCCGGGUUGCGGACAGUGUCUGGUGGGUAGUUUGACUGGGGCGGUCUCCUCCUAAAGAGUAACGGAGGAGCACGAAGGUUGGCUAAUCCUGGUCGGACAUCAGGAGGUUAGUGCAAUGGCAUAAGCCAGCUUGACUGCGAGCGUGACGGCGCGAGCAGGUGCGAAAGCAGGUCAUAGUGAUCCGGUGGUUCUGAAUGGAAGGGCCAUCGCUCAACGGAUAAAAGGUACUCCGGGGAUAACAGGCUGAUACCGCCCAAGAGUUCAUAUCGACGGCGGUGUUUGGCACCUCGAUGUCGGCUCAUCACAUCCUGGGGCUGAAGUAGGUCCCAAGGGUAUGGCUGUUCGCCAUUUAAAGUGGUACGCGAGCUGGGUUUAGAACGUCGUGAGACAGUUCGGUCCCUAUCUGCCGUGGGCGCUGGAGAACUGAGGGGGGCUGCUCCUAGUACGAGAGGACCGGAGUGGACGCAUCACUGGUGUUCGGGUUGUCAUGCCAAUGGCACUGCCCGGUAGCUAAAUGCGGAAGAGAUAAGUGCUGAAAGCAUCUAAGCACGAAACUUGCCCCGAGAUGAGUUCUCCCUGACUCCUUGAGAGUCCUGAAGGAACGUUGAAGACGACGACGUUGAUAGGCCGGGUGUGUAAGCGCAGCGAUGCGUUGAGCUAACCGGUACUAAUGAACCGUGAGGCUUAACCUU